rnacentral:rRNA from 1 species
UACGGAGGGUGCAAGCGUUAGUCGGAAUUACUGGGCGUAAAGGGUGCGUAGGCGGGAUUGUAAGUCAAAUGUGAAAAACCAAAGCUCAACUUUGGCAGUGCAUUUGAAACUGCAAUUCUAGAGGUAUAGCGGAGAAAACGGAAUUCCACGUGUAGCGGUGAAAUGCGUAGAUAUGUGGAAGAACACCUGUGGCGAAAGCGGUUUUCUAGCUUACACCUGACGCUGAGGCACGAAAGCAAGGGGAGCAAACAGG